rfam:TPA: Bos taurus chromosome X, whole genome shotgun sequence.
UCCCUGGUGGCUCAGAUGGUAAAGCGUCUGUCUAGAACACGGGAGACCCGGGUUCGAUCCCUGGGUUGGGAA